rnacentral:rRNA from 1 species
AUUGCACGCUGGCGGCAGGCCUAACACAUGCAAGUCGAGCGAGCGGCGGACGGGUGCGUAAUAUCUGGGAAACUGCCUGAUGGCGGGGGAUCACUACUGUAAACGGUAGCUAAUACCGCAUACCAUCAGAUGUGCCCAGAUGGGAUUAGCUAGUAGGUGAGGUAACGGCUCACCUAGGCGACGAUCCCUAGCUGGUCUGAGAGGAUGACCAGCCACACUGGAACUGAGACACGGUCCAGACUCCUACGGGAGGCAGCAGUGGGGAAUAUUGCACAAUGGGCGCAAGCCUGAUGCAGCCAUGCCGCGUGUGUGAAGAAGGCCUUCGGGUUGUAAAGCACUUUCAGCGGGGAGGCGUUACCCGCAGAAGAAGCACCGGCUAACUCAGUGCCAGCCGCCGCGGUAAUAC